rnacentral:rRNA from 1 species
CCUGGCUCAGGAUGAACGCUGGCGGCGUGCCUAAUACAUGCAAGUAGAACGCUGAAGGAAGGAGCUUGCUCUUUCCGGAUGAGUUGCGAACGGGUGAGUAACGCGUAGGUAACCUGCCUGGUAGCGGGGGAUAACUAUUGGAAACGAUAGCUAAUACCGCAUAACAGUAGAUAUUGCAUGAUAUCUGCUUGAAAGGUGCAAUUGCAUCACUACCAGAUGGACCUGCGUUGUAUUAGCUAGUUGGUGAGGUAACGGCUCACCAAGGCGACGAUACAUAGCCGACCUGAGAGGGUGGUCGGCGACACGGCGACUGAGACACGGCCCAGAGGCAACCGG